rnacentral:lncRNA from 1 species
AUUGGAACUGCUAGGUCAUGGCCUGAACCAGUGAUUGAGCACCAGGUGAGGAGGUGUGGCUAACCCUGGGAGCUCAGGUGCAAGCAAUUUAUAAAGCCUCAGAUGAGGUUACCUCAUUUGAAGGUUAGCAGCUGAGGGAGUAGUAUUUACAUCUGGUGAUUGAUGCCCUUCUGGGGCACCUUCUGGAUUUCACCAGCAUUUAGAAAGGAUAUGCAGGAAAUCAGUGGUCACAGCUGAAUAGGAAAGCUAAGAAGAAGAAGAAGGCAACAUUUAUGAGUGGCCAGAAGCUGCAAGAAAGCAAAGACAUUUCAAUUCUGGAUUUAACAGCUAGGACAAGUGCAAGAAAUUCCCUUCCUUGGAGCUAUGACUUACUGCCUACAAGCUAUUUCAGCUUUCAGCCAAGUAAAUGAAGAGUCAGAAGAAUCUGCAGAGGAAGUUGGAGGACAGACAAUGAUUUUGGAUACAUCAGGCUUGGGCUGGAGUGUGGAUCUGAGGCUGAAUUAUGUCCAGAUUUAAAGUUUAACAGCAAUGAUAUGAUGCGGAUUCUUAAUGUUUCUUCACAAGGAGAGAAUGAUAAGAGCCACUUUCAUCUAUUGGUGCAAGUGUAACUCAAGCAUCGUAGUCACUAGCUACUGAGAACCCUAGUUGAUUUUUAGCCAGCCUUUAUUGGAUUUCAGUUACAAGAACACUGUAUUCACCAUGACUUACUUUUUUAUGUGAGAUCUAAGCCGUAUCUUUAAUUUCACUGGUAUUCUAUGACUCACAUCUUUUCAUCCAGUGUUAUAAAAACUGUUCAUUACUGGUUUAACAGCAAGCAGGAAUUAAGUUACUUCUUUGUAUUUGGUUAGUCUUAAGUCUUCAGACUUAUGUGAAUUAGUACUAUCAUUGAUAAUAGGAAUGAAUUCACUUCAGGAAUCACUUCAGAACUUUAUUUUGGUCAU